CAGCGCAUAUGUGAGUGAGAAUAACAAAGCUGGCUCCACUUUAUGUUCCGUUAGUGCUCGAGACCCCGACUGGAGACAGAACGGUACAGUGAUUUAUUCUCUGUUAGGCGGUGAGGUGAACGGUGCCCCGGUGUCCUCCUAUGUGUCCGUGAACGGAGACACGGGGGUGAUCCACGCUGUGAGGUCGUUUGAUUAUGAACAGUUCCGGAGCUUCAAAGUUCAGGUGAUGGCCAGAGACAACGGUUCUCCUCCUCUCAGCAGCAACGUGACCGUGAGUGUGUUCAUAUCAGAUGUGAAUGACAACUCUCCUCAGAUCCUGUACCCCGGGCCAGAGGGCAAGUCGUUCAUGACCGAGCUGGUCCCCAAAGCUGCUCACGGAGGCUCUCUGGUGUCCAAAGUGAUAGCGGUGGACGCGGACUCUGGACAGAACGCCUGGCUGUCGUAUCAAAUAGUGAAAUCCACGGAUCCGGGACUUUUCACUAUUGGUGUCCACAGUGGAGAGAUCAGGACCCAGCGGGACAUUUCUGAAUCUGACAGCAUGAAACAGAACCUUGUAGUGUCAGUGAAAGAUAACGGGCAGCCCUCUCUGUCUGCCACCUGUUCCAUGUAUUUACUGAUUUCUGAUAACUUGGCUGAGGUGCCAGAACUGAAGGACAUUUCUUAUGAUGAGAAGAACUCCAAACUGACCUCUUAUCUGAUCAUCGCGCUGGUGUGUGUGUCGACAUUUUUUCUGACCUUCAUCAUCAUCAUCCUUGGUGUGAGGUUUUGUCGCAGGAGAAAGCCCAGACUGUUGUUUGACGGAGCAGUGGCCAUCCCCAGCGCGUAUCUCCCUCCUAAUUACGCAGAUGUUGACGGCACAGGAACUUUACGCAGCGCUUACAAUUAUGACGCCUACCUGACAACAGGGUCUCGAACCAGUGACUUUAAGUUUGUUUCAUCGUACAAUGACAACACACUGCCAGCUGACCAGACUCUGAGGAAAAGUCCAUCAGACUUUACUGAAGUGUUUGGAGACUGUGACGACUCUCCUGAGGUAGGAACACCUGCUUAAUACCUUGCCAUGUGGUCAUCUCGAUAGUUUGAGAUAGUUUUUUUGUAUUCACUUAUACCAUUCAGAAGAUCAAAAAAUUUUUUUUGUGGUUUUCUGUGGAUUUUGUUUAAAUUCCUUCUUUUCAAGCCUGAAAGUCAUGCCAUGUUGCCAUCAGCUUCGUUGAACCCUUCAGUUGUGUUUCUUUUCAACAAGAUCAAACAUUUUUGUUUGUGUUCCCUCUACUUCUUUGCAGCAUAUUUAUACCAUAAACAUGUUGUAGACUUUUGUUUUCUUUUUUAAAAUCAGGGUAAAUGUAAAGAUAAGUGAUUAGUGCACAUUUUGUGGUUUGACAUUGAGCUUGUCUGUUUUCUUUGCAUUAGUGGAGAAAUCUUUGUUACAUAAAGCUGAAUUCUUAGCUUUUGUUGUCUCUGUCCUUGGUGCUGAAACUUCCCUUUGCCCUGUGGAAACAGAAAGAAACACCCUUUUGUCUACAUUGUCCUUGUGUUUAUCUUUGACCAAUCUCUGUGGAAAAGUUCAAAUGAUUUGGCUGUAGUUUUUGGAGACAUUUUUUAUUUAGAGAAAUGACAUUUUUUAGAACUGAAUUGUUUGUUCAAACUCCCAAAUUUUUGCUCCCUGUGGUUUGUAUAUACUCUCUUGGUUCUUUAAUCAUGCUUCAGUUUUCAAUGGUAAAAUGAUAUUUAUCUCUUCUUUAAGAUUGAAAAUGCUUCCCUUCAUUGUUGCUUACCUGUUCUUACAAUAGACUUAUAACUCAUACAUCCCAGCCUCUUUUGAUAUCUUUUUUUAGUUCCAGAUUUGCGCACUGAUGUUGACUGAAUAGUAAUAACGUGUGCUCUUUACAGUUAGGUCUCUGUUUUUAAUUUGUUUUGAUAAUUUCAGAUGACACCGCUGACCUAUCAGCAUCAGGUUCUGAUGAAAAGUCCAACAGACUUUACUGAAGAGUUGGGGGACUAUGACGACUCUCCUAAGGUAGAAACAUG